GACCCGCGUCUGAUUAGCUAGUUGGUAAGGUAACGGCUUACCAAGGCGACGAUCAGUAGCCGACCUGAGAGGGUGAUCGGCCACAUUGGAACUGAGACACGGUCCAAACUCCUACGGGAGGCAGCAGUGGGGAAUAUUGCACAAUGGGCGAAAGCCGGAUGCAGCAACGCCGCGUGAGUGAUGAAGGCCUUCGGGUCGUAAAACUCUGUCCUCAAGGAAGAUAAUGACGGUACUUGAGGAGGAAGCCCCGGCUAACUACGUGCCAGCAGCCGCGGUAAUACGUAGGGGGCUAGCGUUAUCCGGAUUUACUGGGCGUAAAGGGUGCGUAGGCGGUCUUUCAAGUCAGGAGUGAAAGGCUACGGCUCAACCGUAGUAAGCUCUUGAAACUGGGAGACUUGAGUGCAGGAGAGGAGAGUGGAAUUCCUAGUGUAGCGGUGAAAUGCGUAGAUAUUAGGAGGAACACCAGUUGCGAAGGCGGCUCUCUGGACUGUAACUGACGCUGAGGCACGAAAGCGUGGGGAGCAAACAGGAUUAGAUACCCUGGUAGUCCACGCUGUAAACGAUGAGUACUAGGUGUCGGGGGUUACCCCC
rnacentral:rRNA from 1 species